rnacentral:rRNA from 1 species
GUCUAUGGCCACAUCACCCUGAAUAUGUUCAAUCUCAUCUGAACUCAUGAAACUAGUUAAGCAGUGUUGGGCCUAGUUACUACUUGCAUGGAAGAAGAAAGUGCAUUAAACA